GCUGAAGCCUGGUGCUUGCACCGGGUGGAUGAGUGGCGAACGGGUGAGUAACACGUGAGUAACCUGCCCCUGACUUCGGGAUAAGCCCGGGAAACUGGGUCUAAUACCGGAUACGACUGCCGGACGCAUGUCUGGUGGUGGAAAGUUUUUUCGGUUGGGGAUGGGCUCGCGGCCUAUCAGUUUGUUGGUGAGGUAAUGGCUCACCAAGACGACGACGGGUAGCCGGCCUGAGAGGGCGACCGGCCACACUGGGACUGAGACACGGCCCAGACUCCUACGGGAGGCAGCAGUGGGGAAUAUUGCACAAUGGGGGAAACCCUGAUGCAGCGACGCAGCGUGCGGGAUGACGGCCUUCGGGUUGUAAACCGCUUUCAGCAGGGAAGAAGCGCAAGUGACGGUACCUGCAGAAGAAGUACCGGCUAACUACGUGCCAGCAGCCGCGGUAAUACGUAGGGUACGAGCGUUGUCCGGAAUUAUUGGGCGUAAAGAGCUCGUAGGUGGUUGGUCACGUCUGCUGUGGAAACGCAACGCUUAACGUUGCGCGUGCAGUGGGUACGGGCUGACUAGAGUGCAGUAGGGGAGUCUGGAAUUCCUGGUGUAGCGGUGAAAUGCGCAGAUAUCAGGAGGAACACCGGUGGCGAAGGCGGGACUCUGGGCUGUAACUGACACUGAGGAGCGAAAGCAUGGGGAGCGAACAGGAUUAGAUACCCUGGUAGUCCAUGCCGUAAACGUUGGGCACUAGGUGUGGGGGGCAUUCCACGUUCUCCGCGCCGUAGCUAACGCAUUAAGUGCCCCGCCUGGGGGAGUACGGUCGCAAGGCUAAAACUCAAAGGAAUUGACGGGGGCCCGCACAAGCGGCGGAGCAUGCGGAUUAAUUCGAUGCAACGCGAAGAACCUUACCAAGGCUUGACAUACACCGGACCGUCCUGGAAACAGGUCCUCUUCUUUGAAGCUGGUGUACAGGUGGGUGCAUGGUUGUCGUCAGCUCGUGUCGUGAGAAGGUUUGGGUUAAGUCCCGCAACGAGCGCAACCCUCGUUCUAUGUUG
rnacentral:rRNA from 1 species